CUUUAAGGAUGAUGGUAAUGAUAGGGAUUUGCGGUUUCGACUAGGAGGUUCCUUAAACAUCUCGGUGAUCAAGAUAUUGGUCAGAGUGUUUACGAAACUCAAAGAGAAAUGCCGAGACGACGAUGAGGAAAAACAAAGAUACACGGAUAAUUGACCAAAUUUGGAUACAGUGUCGCUGACUGACUAUGACUGAACUCUAGAACUGAGUUUAACCGAUGCGCGGAGAUGCGAGUCGCCGAACUACGUGUGGCACACACGAGAGCCACGAGAGGUUAAAUUGUGUUGACACAUCUAAACGAAAUCAACGCCAGGCGAAUGGGUUCCAACCGUCGAUAAAAUAUAUCUUUACUGGCCGAUAACGUAGCGGCGAGCACAGACGCAGAUGGAGAGAUUCCAACGUCAGGCUGAUAUAGAAGUUAGUAACGUUGUUGCGAUUCAUGCCGUGGAAAAACUGUUCUUUCGCGAUUUUGGAUUUACCUGAAAUACAGUAAUCCGUAAUAAAACUGAACACACUCA